AUAGCAUGUGACUUUCUGAGAUGAUAUAUUUUUUAACUAGAAUUAGCCCAUGGAGAUUUAAAGUUUAUUUUGUUGCCCUCGCCUUUGCUUGCACUGUCAUUAUCAUUUCUCGUUUUGUAUUUUUUUGGUUAAAUCACAGUCAAACAUUAUAAACAUUGACUUUCUUCUGCAUUCCGCUUGUAUGCGCAAGAAAGGCACUCACCUAACAUCUUAAACUGCUCAAGUUUAACCACUUGAGGUAUAUACCACUCAAG
rnacentral:lncRNA from 1 species